rnacentral:rRNA from 1 species
ACUCCUGCGGGAGGCAGCAGUGGGGAAUUUUGGACAAUGGGCGAAAGCCUGAUCCAGCAAUGCCGCGUGAGUGAAGAAGGCCUUCGGGUUGUAAAGCUCUUUUGUCAGGGAAGAAACGGUGAGAGCUAAUAUCUCUUGCUAAUGACGGUACCUGAAGAAUAAGCACCGGCUAACUACGUGCCAGCAGCCGCGGUAAUACGUAGGGUGCAAGCGUUAAUCGGAAUUACUGGGCGUAAAGCGUGCGCAGGCGGUUUUGUAAGUCUGAUGUGAAAUCCCCGGGCUCAACCUGGGAAUUGCAUUGGAGACUGCAAGGCUAGAAUCUGGCAGAGGGGGGUAGAAUUCCACGUGUAGCAGUGAAAUGCGUAGAUAUGUGGAGGAACACCGAUGGCGAAGGCAGCCCCCUGGGUCAAGAUUGACGCUCAUGCACGAAAGCGUGGGGAGCAAACAGGAUUAGAAACCCCGGUAGUCCCA